UCAAAAAAAAAAAAAAAGAAUAUGCUUUGAAAGCAAACAAGAACCUCCUUAAUCUUACAUGUGAUUUAAUUUGCUUUAAUGUGCUUUGUCUAGGUAAAGCAAAUUUUUCCAUGAAAGAAAGCUUGGACAGAAAAUACGCUUGGUAAAUCAGUCUUCUAAAAGCUGCUGGAGGUAAGGAAAAAAAUUAGUAAUGUAAUGCUGUUGCUAAACUGCCCAUCUAAUUAAUUCUGGGUAAUAUAUUAACAAUAAUUUUUUGAUUUUUUUGGCAGAAAAUUUGCCUUUUUUCACUACUCUUAUCUCAAUUUACUUCAAGAAGAUUCCUUUAGUUGGCUAGGCAAGAAAAUGUUCCUUGCCUCUCUUACAUAACUUAGUGUCUCCACUUAAAUAAAAUGCCUUAAGGAAAAAGCAAUUGCAAAGGAGGUAGGAAGAAAGGCAAGAACAAGGCUAAAAGAACUUGGUUUUAACAGGCAUAUACAUGAGAACCUUUAUAGACUAAGAACUUCUGGAGGGUGGGGUGGGUCAUCCUGGGAUUAAUGAUGAAAGGAAUCUGUCACCUUUGAGCAUGAGUACUUUUUACCUAUGGCUCCGCAACAAAGAGGCUAUUGUACUUCAAAGCAGAAGCUCCAAACAAUGACAAAGAAACCAGGCAAAGGGGGCCAGAGGGGUUGUUGCUUACCGAACAUUUCGGUAGCAUUUUCAAAAUAAUUGGCUUAACUACACUAUCAAACUAAGUUAUAAUUUCAAGGGCACCACAAUUAACAGGGAUUUAUGUUAAAGUUCUGUUAAGUAGUUCUUUGUUCUUUCUUUCUUUCUUGUAAACAGAUCUCUAAGGGACGUACCCAGGGCCUGCAAUAUUAUGGGUCAAUACUUCAUGAAACAGAAGGUACUCUUGAUGCAAGGAUGGUAAGGGAUGUUUGGAAUCAGAAACAUAUAGUCACUCUGAGUAUGAUAGGAGAGAUGAAGAUAUGAUAUGAAGAACUAAAUAAAAAUAAAUUCUAAGAAUAUUAAGUUCACACUUUAUAUACUGCUCCAGUUAAAGGCAAUUUAGUGAGUUGUUAAAAGCCAGGCAUCUGGAGCCAGGCUGCCUGGGUUUAUCGCUCAGCUUUGCCACUUGGGUAAACAAACAAAACCACCUGUAAUCUUACUACUUAAAAAAAUACAAAGUAUUUACAGUAAAGUAUGAAAGCAAACCCAUACUCCAUUAACCAUUCUCCAUGUAAUAUGUAUCCUUCUCAACUUUUCCCCAAAAGUUAUACACGUCAGUAUAUAAUGGACAGAUGCAUAAUGCCAAUAAUACUGGUUUGGAAUUAAAAACAUCAUUCAGUGAUCUAACAUGAGCCAUGUAGUACAUACAUAUUCAUCUUGUAUGUACUAAUCAUCUUGUGUUACUGGCUAGGGGUCCCAAUCCAGACUCCAAGAGAGGGUUCUUGGAUCUCAUGCAGGAAAGAAUUCAGGAAGAGUCCCUAAAGUGAAAGCAAGGACAUUGGGAAAGUCCUAUAUCCCUAAAGGAAUAAAGAAUGGCUACUCCAUCGGCAGAGAAGCCCUGAAGGCUGCUGGUUGUCUAUUUUUAUGGUUAUUUCUUUAUCAUAUGGUAAACGAGGGGUGGGUUAUUCAAGCUUCCCCUUUUUAGACCAUAUAGGGUAACUUCUUGAUGUUGCCAUGGCAUUUGUAAAGUGUCACUUGACUUUGGUGGGAGUGUAGCAGUGAGGAUGAACAGAGUCACUCUCAUCGCAACCUUGGUUUUGGUGGGUUUUAGCCAGCUUAUUUACUGCAAUCUGUUUAAUCAGCAGUGUCUUUUUGACCCGUAUCUUUUGCCGACCUCCUAUCUCAUCCUGUGACUUAGAAUGCCUUAACCAUCUGGGAAUGCAGCCCAGGAGGUCUCAGCCUCAUUUUACCAAGCCCCUAUUCAAGAUGGAGUUGCUCUAGUUCAAACGCCUCUGACACUUGUAUGUACUAAGAUGGAUAUAGUAUUUUUUUGUCUUAUUAACUAUUGGUCUAUUUAAUAAACAUUUGUGUGUCUAUUAUUUUGCUAUUAUGAUAGUAAAGUGAAUGUCCUUGCACAUAAAUAUUAAUGUUAUUAUUUCUGUAGGUUAAAUUUCAACUGGGAUGAUAAAUCAAAAGAAACUGUUUAUUGAAUGAGAAAUAAGCUCCCACUCUAGGAUGAGAUGCAUCAUUGAGGAGCAGCCCCCUGGUUUUGGUGACAGAACUCCUACUGAAGGACAGUGCCCUGAGGAUGCUGUGGUGAGGUAUGCAUCCUGCUAGCUUGUUGAUACUGCUCCAUGCUCAUAAAACCAUCUGGGGUCCACGAGUAACAAAACCAUGAUCCAUAAUAACAAACAAACAAAAUGUUUGUUAGCAUGACAGCCAUCACAGGUCAUCCCAUCCCGAGGGAAGUGAUCCAGAGAUUACUUGUUUUUCCAUCAAGUGGGAGAUAGUAGAGGGCACCAGAAAUUUGGAAGAAAGAAAGAUGUUACCAGACCCCAGCACCUACCCAAAGUUAAUAUUAUCCCUUCAGUGGUUCAACAGAAAGAUGUUGACGGAAAAGCGUCCCGAUCCAGACUGCCCGUUUUUUUUUUUUUAAAAAUAGAGAUGGGGUCUCACUAUGUUGACCAGGCUGGUCUCGAAUUCCUGAGCUCAAGUGAUUCUCUCAUUUCUCACGAGGCUGUGGAGAAAUAGGAAUGCUUUUACACUGUUGGUGGGAGUGUAAAUUAGUUCAACCAUUGUGGAAGACAGUGUGGUGAUUCCUCAAGGAAGUAGAAUCAGAAAUACCAUUUGACCCAAUGAUCCC
rnacentral:lncRNA from 10 species